AACUGAAGAGACCCGGAGCCCACAGACGGUAAGCUCGGGGUGAAGGCCAUGCCACCUCCUGGGAAAGUUCCUCGAAAGGAGAAUCUGUGGCUCCAGUGUGAGUGGGGGUCCUGCUCCUUUGUGUGCUCAGCCAUGGAAAAGUUCUUCGAGCAUGUCACUCAGCACCUGCAGCAGCACCUGCACGGCUCUGGAGAGUACGAGGAAGAGGAAGAGGAGGAUGACCCACUUGAGGAAGAAUUCUCCUGCUUGUGGCAGGAAUGUGGCUUUUGUUCUCUGGACAAUUCUGCUGACCUCAUCCGCCAUGUCUACUUCCACUGCUACCACACCAAGCUGAAACAGUGGGGGCUGCAGGCCUUGCAAAGCCAGGCUGACCUCGGCCCCUGCAUCCUGGACUUCCAGAGUCGGAACGUCAUCCCUGAUAUCCCUGACCACUUCCUGUGUCUGUGGGAGCACUGUGAGAGUUCCUUCGACAAUCCUGAGUGGUUUUAUCGGCAUGUGGAAGCACACAGUCUGUGCUGUGAAUACGAAGCAGUCGGCAAGGACAACCCUGUGGUGCUGUGUGGCUGGAAAGGCUGUACCUGCACCUUCAAGGACCGCAGUAAACUUCGGGAGCACCUCCGCAGCCAUACCCAGGAGAAAGUGGUAGCCUGCCCCACCUGUGGGGGCAUGUUUGCCAACAAUACCAAGUUCUUAGAUCACAUCCGUCGCCAGACCUCAUUGGAUCAGCAGCACUUCCAGUGUUCUCACUGUUCCAAGAGAUUUGCCACGGAGCGGCUGUUGCGGGACCACAUGCGCAACCAUGUGAAUCACUAUAAGUGCCCUCUGCGUGACAUGACCUGCCCGCUGCCUUCCUCCCUCCGCAACCACAUGCGUUUUCGUCACAGUGAGGACCGGCCCUUUAAAUGUGACUGUUGUGACUACAGCUGCAAGAAUCUUAUUGACCUCCAGAAGCACCUGGAUACCCACAGUGAGGAGCCAGCCUACAGGGAGACUCUGAGCCAAGGUACAAAUGUCAUGUGUGUGACAAAUGCUUCACACGGGGCAACAACCUCACCGUGCACCUUCGCAAGAAGCACCAGUUCAAGUGGCCCUCAGGGCAUCCCCGUUUUCGGUACAAGGAACAUGAAGAUGGCUAUAUGCGGCUGCAGCUGGUUCGCUACGAGAGUGUAGAGCUGACACAGCAACUGCUGCGGCAACCACAAGAGGGAUCGGGCCUGGGAACGUCGCUGAACGAGAGCAGCCUGCAGGGCAUUAUUCUAGAAACAGUGUCAGGGGAGCCAGGACGUAAGGAAGAGGAAGAGGAGGGCAAGGUUGGCGACGGGACAGCCCUCUCAGCCUCUCAGGACAACCCCAGUUCUGUCAUCCAUGUGGUGAAUCAGACCAACGCCCAAGGCCAGCAAGAGAUUGUCUACUAUGUGCUCUCUGAAGCCCCAGGAGAGCCUCCCCCAGCCCCUGAGCCACCCUCAGGGGCAUCAUGGAAAAGCUUCAAGGAAUAGCUGAGGAGCCAGAGAUCCAGAUGGUUUGAAGGCCGCAGAGCCAGACCAUUUCUUCUCCAGUUCCUGGAGUUUGAGCCAGGCAAGUGGCUGUGCCCCUAGUGGACAGCGGUUGCCAAUGGAUGCCUUUAGGAGUGGUGCUGAGAGCAGUGUGGUCCACUCUGGUCUGGGUUUGCAUCAUUCUACGGACUCUAAAGACUUCCCUUUUCUGCCAGACUGCAUUUUGUGGGGAGCCUGAGGACUUUGGAUUCUUUGAGGGGAUCCUGGAUGUGUGUGUUCUUGUUAAAGGGGCUGUUGUCAGGCUUAACCAUAACCCUCAAGACAUGUUUGAUGGUGAUUAAAUCCUUCGCUCACAUCCAUUCCCAUCUUUAGGGCUCCUUAGGCCCAAGGAUGGCAUGUGACUGGUCCCUACAAGGGUCCUUUCUUUGUCACCAGCCAAGGCAUUGAGAACCAAUUAGCCAUUUUCCUCUUAAGGUUUCCUCUACAACUCCAAGGACUUUCAUGAUUAUCCUCAGGGACAGGAUAGGAGGCAUUGAGCGUGUUUAUUAACAAAUUGUUUUUGGUAAUAAAAGAAAUGCUUGGACUCUUAAAAAAAAA